UUUUGACCUCAAAUCAGGUAGGACU
rnacentral:rRNA from 2 species